AUUGAACGCUGGCGGCAUGCCUUACACAUGCAAGUCGAACGGCAGCACGGGAGCAAUCCUGGUGGCGAGUGGCGAACGGGUGAGUAAUGUAUCGGAACGUGCCCAGUUGUGGGGGAUAACGUAGCGAAAGCUACGCUAAUACCGCAUACGAUCUAUGGAUGAAAGCGGGGGAUCGCAAGACCUCGCGCGAUUGGAGCGGCCGAUAUCAGAUUAGGUAGUUGGUGGGGUAAAGGCUCACCAAGCCGACGAUCUGUAGCUGGUCUGAGAGGACGACCAGCCACACUGGGACUGAGACACGGCCCAGGCUCCUACGGGAGGCAGCAGUGGGGAAUUUUGGACAAUGGGCGCAAGCCUGAUCCAGCAAUGCCGCGUGCAGGAUGAAGGCCUUCGGGUUGUAAACUGCUUUUGUACGGAACGAAACGGCGAGCUCUAAUACAGUUUGCUAAUGACGGUACCGUAAGAAUAAGCACCGGCUAACUACGUGCCAGCCGCCGCAGUAA
rnacentral:rRNA from 1 species